GUGCUCACUUCGGCAGCACAUAUACUAAAAUUGGAACGAUACAGAGAAGAUUAGCAUGGCCCCUGCACAAGGAUGACACACAAAUUCGUGAAGCGUUCCAUACCAUAUUUUU